AAGGUGCGGCGGCGGGCUCUCGUGAAACUCGGUCGAGUUCUGAUUAUUGAAAGGUGCUUGCAUCUUGAUUUAAUUUUGAACGAGUGGCGGACGGGUGAGUAACACGUGGGUAACCUGCCCUUAAGUGGGGGAUAACAUUUGGAAACAGAUGCUAAUACCGCAUAAAUCCAAGAACCGCAUGGUUCUUGGCUGAAAGAUGGCGUAAGCUAUCGCUUUUGGAUGGACCCGCGGCGUAUUAGCUAGUUGGUGAGGUAACGGCUCACCAAGGCAAUGAUACGUAGCCGAACUGAGAGGUUGAUCGGCCACAUUGGGACUGAGACACGGCCCAAACUCCUACGGGAGGCAGCAGUAGGGAAUCUUCCACAAUGGACGCAAGUCUGAUGGAGCAACGCCGCGUGAGUGAAGAAGGCUUUCGGGUCGUAAAACUCUGUUGUUGGAGAAGAAUGGUCGGCAGAGUAACUGUUGUCGGCGUGACGGUAUCCAACCAGAAAGCCACGGCUAACUACGUGCCAGCAGCCGCGGUAAUACGUAGGUGGCAAGCGUUAUCCGGAUUUAUUGGGCGUAAAGCGAGCGCAGGCGGUUUUUUAAGUCUGAUGUGAAAGCCCUCGGCUUAACCGAGGAAGUGCAUCGGAAACUGGGAAACUUGAGUGCAGAAGAGGACAGUGGAACUCCAUGUGUAGCGGUGAAAUGCGUAGAUAUAUGGAAGAACACCAGUGGCGAAGGCGGCUGUCUGGUCUGUAACUGACGCUGAGGCUCGAAAGCAUGGGUAGCGAACAGGAUUAGAUACCCUGGUAGUCCAUGCCGUAAACGAUGAAUGCUAGGUGUUGGAGGGUUUCCGCCCUUCAGUGCCGCAGCUAACGCAUUAAGCAUUCCGCCUGGGGAGUACGACCGCAAGGUUGAAACUCAAAGGAAUUGACGGGGGCCCGCACAAGCGGUGGAGCAUGUGGUUUAAUUCGAAGCAACGCGAAGAACCUUACCAGGUCUUGACAUCUUUUGAUCACCUGAGAGAUCAGGUUUCCCCUUCGGGGGCAAAAUGACAGGUGGUGCAUGGUUGUCGUCAGCUCGUGUCGUGAGAUGUUGGGUUAAGUCCCGCAACGAGCGCAACCCUUAUGACUAGUUGCCAGCAUUUAGUUGGGCACUCUAGUAAGACUGCCGGUGACAAACCGGAGGAAGGUGGGGAUGACGUCAAAUCAUCAUGCCCCUUAUGACCUGGGCUACACACGUGCUACAAUGGAUGGUACAACGAGUUGCGAGACCGCGAGGUCAAGCUAAUCUCUUAAAGCCAUUCUCAGUUCGGACUGUAGGCUGCAACUCGCCUACACGAAGUCGGAAUCGCUAGUAAUCGCGGAUCAGCACGCCGCGGUGAAUACGUUCCCGGGCCUUGUACACACCCGCCCGUAAAAAA
rnacentral:rRNA from 1 species